UACCUGGUUGAUCCUGCCAGUAGUCAUAUGCUUGUCUUAAAGAUUAAGCCAUGCAUGUCUAAGUAUAAGCAUUUAUACCGCGAGACUGCAAACGGCUCAUUAAAACAGUUAUGGUUUAUUUGAUGGUUCCUUUGCUACUUGGAUAACCGUAGUAAUUCUAGAGCUAAUACAUGCACGAAGGGGCGACUUACGAAGCCCUGUAUUUAUUAGAUUAAAGCCAACCGCCUCCGGGUGUUCGUGGUGAAUCAUAGUAACUUAUCGGAUCGCCGGCUCUAUGCCAGCGACGUGUCAUUCAAAUUUCUGCCCUAUCAGCUUUAGAUGGUAGGAUAUGGGCCUACCAUGGCGGUGACGGGUAACGGAGAAUUAGGGUUCGAUUCCGGAGAGGGAGCCUGAGAAACGGCUACCACUUCUAAGGAAGGCAGCAGGCGCGCAAAUUACCCAAUCCUGACUCAGGGAGGUAGUGACAAGAAAUAACAAUAAACCGGCUUAUGCCGGUUUAAUUGGAAUGAGUACAAUUUAAACAUCUUAACGAGGAACAAUUGGAGGGCAAGUCUGGUGCCAGCAGCCGCGGUAAUUCCAGCUCCAAUAGC
rnacentral:rRNA from 1 species